UACGAAGGGGGCUAGCGUUGCUCGGAUUGACUGGGCGUAAAGGGCGCGUAGGCGGUCUGUACAGUCAGGCGUGAAAUUCCUGGGCUCAACCUGGGGGCUGCGUUUGAUACGUGCAGACUAGAGUGCGGAAGAGGGUCGUGGAAUUCCCAGUGUAGAGGUGAAAUUCGUAGAUAUUGGGAAGAACACCGGUGGCGAAGGCGGCGACCUGGUCCGAUACUGACGCUGAGGCGCGAAAGCGUGGGGAGCGAACAGG
rnacentral:rRNA from 1 species